GAUGGCGUCGGCUCCUCGGUUACCGGCGACGGCUUCCCUCACCCUCGCAUUUUAGGCGGGAGGGCGCUCGCCUUCGAGACCCGCCUCGCCCGCCCGCGGCUGCGGAAACCGGGGAGGGGGGCGGCCUCGGGUGCCGAUGCGUGUUUGGUCUUGGCUUCUCCGUGCUCUUCGUGACCUAUGUAGUGGUGUCGCUCGUCUUCGGCCCGAGGAAGCUUCCCUAGAUCGGACGGAGCGUCGGCAAGACUCUCAAGGGCUUCCAACAGGGUUUAUCACAGUUAGUGCCGGAAAACUAAAGCGCGAGUUCACCAUAUUGCCUUUGAGUUCUAUUCCUGGUCUUAUCCUUUAUUAUUUCAGCCAGCAAAAGAAUUUGAAACUGAAUUGAAUUGAAAAGAAAUCUCAAAGACUCCCCAAAGUUGUCACUGGUCAAGGACUCAAAACUGCAAGUGCCAAAGAGCACGUGUAAUUCUUUACUUCUUCUCUUAUACUGUAAGUCUCUGCUCACACUCGUAUAUUUCCUGAAUAUAAUUUGCUUGGGAACAUGUUA